rnacentral:rRNA from 1 species
AUUGAACGCUGGCGGCAUGCCUUACACAUGCAAGUCGAACGGCAGCACGGGAGCAAUCCUGGUGGCGAGUGGCGAACGGGUGAGUAAUAUAUCGGAACGUGCCCAGCCGUGGGGAUAACGUAGCGGAAGCUACGCUAAUACCGCAUACGAUCUAUGGAUGAAAGCGGGGGAUCGCAAGACCUCGCGCGAUUGGAGCGGCCGAUAUCAGAUUAGGUAGUUGGUGAGGUAAAGGCUCACCAAGCCGACGAUCUGUAGCUGGUCUGAGAGGACGACCAGCCACGCUGGGACUGAGACACGGCCCAGACUCCUACGGGAGGCAGCAGUGGGGAAUAUUGGACAAUGGNGGAAAGACCGUGAUCCAGCAAU